UACGUAGGGUGCGAGCGUUGUCCGGAAUUAUUGGGCGUAAAGGGCUCGUAGGCGGUUUGUCGCGUCGGGAGUGAAAACCAGGUGCUUAACACCUGGCUUGCUUUCGAUACGGGCAGACUAGAGGUAUGCAGGGGAGAACGGAAUUCCUGGUGUAGCGGUGAAAUGCGCAGAUAUCAGGAGGAACACCGGUGGCGAAGGCGGUUCUCUGGGCAUUACCUGACGCUGAGGAGCGAAAGUGUGGGAGCGAACAGG
rnacentral:rRNA from 1 species